GACGAACGCUGGCGGCGUGCUUAACACAUGCAAGUCGAACGGAAAGGCCCUGCUUUUGUGGGGUGCUCGAGUGGCGAACGGGUGAGUAACACGUGAGUAACCUGCCCUUGACUUUGGGAUAACUUCAGGAAACUGGGGCUAAUACCGGAUAGGAGCUCCUGCUGCAUGGUGGGGGUUGGAAAGUUUCGGCGGUUGGGGAUGGACUCGCGGCUUAUCAGCUUGUUGGUGGGGUAGUGGCUUACCAAGGCUUUGACGGGUAGCCGGCCUGAGAGGGUGACCGGCCACAUUGGGACUGAGAUACGGACCAGACUCCUACGGGAGGCAGCAGUGGGGAAUAUUGCACAAUGGGCGGAAGCCUGCUGCAGCAACGCCGCGUGCGGGAUGCAGGCCUUCGGGUUGUAAACCGCUUUCGCCUGUGACGAAGCGUGAGUGACGGUAAUGGGUAAAGAAGCACCGGCUAACUACGUG
rnacentral:rRNA from 1 species